rnacentral:tRNA from 1 species
ACCUGGCUGGCUCAGUCAGAAGAGCAUCUGACUUUUAAUCUCGGGGUCAUGAGUUUGAGUCCCAUGUUGGAUG